CAGCGGAAGUCUAACAUAGGAAUUUAUCUCUAGCCUCAGCUCCGUCCCGUCAGCACCGGCCAGCCAACCUGAAAACAUUUGAAAGUAUUUUUGGGCUAAGUACUAAUGUACUUAGUGGGCAUGCAUUUUCAUAAACAUUUCAUAUUUUCUUAAAGGCAGUUUAUCCAAUCAUAAUUUACAUAACUUAGAAGGUUUUAAAAUGAAAUAACUUCUAAGCAUGUUAAAAUAUUUUCUUUCAUUUGUGCGCACAUGUCACACUCCCUUUCCGUUACUCGCUGUGAUCCCGGACCUUUUAGCCACCGACGGAUCCAUUACUCCUGCUUUACUUGGACUGAGGGCGUAACCCAGCCAAGCUCCCAUUUGGGACCCAAUGCUCCGGAACACAUCCCGUCGAGCACCCUUAUAACGCCUCAU
rnacentral:lncRNA from 1 species